AUGAUAAGCUCGAGGUAACACAGUACAUUGGUGGCAGAAGUGAGACUACCUUCUAGACCUCCGGGCUCCUGGUGCAGGAGGCCUUGAGCCCACACAAGCGAUACCAGGCAUGGUCUGAGAAAGUUGGAAUUUGGGCCUGGUGGCAAGGAGGACCCAGUCCGAGGAGAAGGUGUCAGACCAGCAGCAGGGACUGACGGCUGUCCCCACCUGCUCCCUCCUUGGUCCUUCACAGCCGUCCCCCACCAGUGGCUCUGCACAUCUAGUUCCAUCUUGGUGGCUCCUUCUUGAGAGACCUCAACUGACACCAUGGUUGCAGGACUCCAUCCUUCUGGAGGUCGUUGGGUGUAGUCUUGUGCUCGCAGUCUGGGCUUUGUCCUCACAAGACUGAGGAGAUGGAAGCCCCUCUCCUUAAGUAUCCGGCAGGGUCUCCUCCUCCCAGCUCUCCUAGACAUCUGGACAGUCCUUCCUGAGUUCUAGCCUAGAGUCACCAA